rnacentral:misc_RNA from 1 species
AGAGAAUAUCCUGUUUGUUG